rnacentral:rRNA from 1 species
UACGUAGGGGGCCAGCGUUGUUCGGAAUUACUGGGUGUAAAGGGUUCGUAGGCGGUGUGGCAAGUUGGGAGUGAAAUCUCUGGGCUCAACCCAGAGACGGCUUCCAAAACUGCCGUGCUUGAGUGUGAGAGAGGCUCGUGGAAUUGCAGGUGUAGCGGUGAAAUGCGUAGAUAUCUGCAGGAACACCCGUGGCGAAAGCGGCGAGCUGGAUCACUACUGACGCUGAAGAACGAAAGCUAGGGGAGCAAACAGGAUUAGAUACCCUGGUAGUCCUAGCCCUAAACGAUCAGGACUUGGGGUGUCACCCGUUCGGGUGACGUCCCGGAGCUAACGCGUUAAGUCCUGCACCUGGGGAGUACGGUCGCAAGACUGAA